GGCUCUUUAGCUCAGUUGGUAGAGCAGGGGGCUGAAAAUCCCCGUGUCCGCGGUUCAAUUCCGCGAGGAGCCACCA
rnacentral:tRNA from 1 species